AGGCCCCCUAAUCAGCUGGUGAGGAUGCUGGCCAGGGGCAAGGAAUCUAUGUAUAACCUCAAGCCAUUUCUUCCAAAUAAAGCUGAUGACUUAUACACUGCUAGAAGCCUUACUCAUUGAUCAGAAGUGUGGGGUUAACGUUAAUUGGAUUAAUUUCCCUGAAGACUUAGAAUCGACUACCCUACCUUACCUGAAGUGCCAUAUUUAACAGAGCUGAUCAUAUUUCAAGAUGGAAUACUCUAUUGAGAAAUGCAGUCCAUGUGAGAGUUGGGCUCCAUCCUAUCAAGUUGGGAAUUUCAGGCCACGAACAGCAGUAAGCACAAUGGAAGAGAUCUGUGAAAUUAUUCUCCUGUAAGAAGGCUGUGAUAAGUUAAGUGUACAAGGCUAGUUAAUGGUGAGAAAUAAAAGUUUAAAAAUUAGUUAUACCUGGUGCUGUGAAAACAGAAUAUCUCUUCAUUGUGAUGGCCUAGCAAUAAUCAUACAUUGAAAUGGACAGCAUAUGCUUACAAAAUUUGUAGAUUGCAACCACUCUCCAAAUACAAGUGCCUUGGGUGUUUUGAAGAUCGUGGGAAGAGGAGAAAAUACAGGUGAAAAACAUAA
rnacentral:lncRNA from 1 species